rnacentral:rRNA from 1 species
UACGGGGGGGGCAAGCGUUGUUCGGAAUUACUGGGCGUAAAGGGCUCGUAGGCGGCCAACUAAGUCAGACGUGAAAUCCCUCGGCUUAACCGGGGAACUGCGUCUGAUACUGGUUGGCUUGAAUCCGGGAGAGGGAUGUGGAAUUCCAGGUGUAGCGGUGAAAUGCUUAGAUAUGUUACAGAACACCAAUUGUGAAGACAGCUUACUAAGUCGUGAUUGACGCUGAGGCACGAAAGCGUGGGGAGCAAACAGG